rnacentral:misc_RNA from 1 species
AUGAAAAUCUCAUCCCAUCAGGUCUCUGAUGAUGAUGGACUUGGGUGCUGCCGUCUGGCUCGCCUUAAAAGUGUUAGUGGUUCCAAAGUUGAAUCUGGCGUAAUAAGUUUCGCUGGCCAAGACUGAAGGCUACUCAUAACCUGUCUUCUGACAUCUUUUGCUCUGACCUCAAAUCAGGUAGGGAUACCCGCUGAACUUAA